CCCGACAUACUAACCGGUAACGGGCUUAAACCCGACCCGACUCCAUCAUCAUAAUACAUCUCAAACCCGUUACCCGACCCGGACGUGUGCCCACGGAGGACGAUGACGGGGUUGAACGACGACCGGUCGUCGGAAGUUCUUCUCGUCCGGCGAAGCACCGGCGAGGUGGGACUCCGGCGAGAGUCUGAGAAAGUGGAUUCGGUAUGAUGAUGGAGUUCGGUUUGUUGACAUUUGUAAACGGAUCUAAAGAACACAAAUCUUGAUUUUGAAACCCUAAAUUUCAAACCAUCAUCAGGAAACUUAAAUUAAAGAAAACCCAGAUGCCAAAAUCGAAUAUUUGUUCAAGAAAAUUGAAAAGUUGUGAUCUUUUUUACAAAGAACAGAGUUUGGGUGUGAUUGAUGAGCCCUAGAUAUGAAAACGUAUCAAAAUACC
rnacentral:lncRNA from 1 species